rnacentral:rRNA from 1 species
UACGUAGGGUACGAGCGUUGUCCGGAAUUAUUGGGCGUAAAGAGCUCGUAGGUGGUUGGUCACGUCUGCUGUGGAAACGCAACGCUUAACGUUGCGCGGGCAGUGGGUACGGGCUGACUAGAGUGCAGUAGGGGAGUCUGGAAUUCCUGGUGUAGCGGUGAAAUGCGCAGAUAUCAGGAGGAAAACCGGUGGCGAAGGCGGGACUCUGGGCUGUAACUGACACUGAGGAGCGAAAGCAUGGGGAGCGAACA